UCCUUUGUGGUCCAGUGGUUAAGAUUCUGCACUUCCAAUGCAGGGAACACUGGUUCAAUCCCUGGUUGAGGAA
rfam:TPA: Bos taurus chromosome 16, whole genome shotgun sequence.